GUGAACGCUGGCGGUAGGCCUAACACCUGCAAGUCGAACGGCAGCACAGUAAGAGCUUGCUCUUACGGGUGGCGAGUGGCGGACGGGUGAGGAAUACAUCGGAAUCUACUUUUUCGUGGGGGAUAACGUAGGGAAACUUACGCUGAUACCGCAUACGACCUACGGGUGAAAGCAGGGGAUCUUCGGACCUUGCGCGAUUAAAUGAGCCGAUGUCGGAUUAGCUAGUUGGCGGGGUAAAGGCCCACCAAGGCGACGAUCCGUAGCUGGUCUGAGAGGAUGAUCAGCCACACUGGAACUGAGACACGGUCCAGACUCCUACGGGAGGCAGCAGUGGGGAAUAUUGGACAAUGGGCGCAAGCCUGAUCCAGCCAUACCGCGUGGGUGAAGAAGGCCUUCGGGUUGUAAAGCCCUUUUGUUGGGAAAGAAAAGCAGCAGGUUAAUACCCCGCUGUUCUGACGGGACCCAAAGAAUAAGCACCGGCUAACUUCGU
rnacentral:rRNA from 1 species